GCGCUCAUGGCCUAAUGGAUAAGGCAUUUGACUUCUAAUCAAGCAAUUGUGGGUUCGAAUCCCAUUGGGUGUG
rnacentral:tRNA from 1 species